rnacentral:rRNA from 1 species
UACGUAGGGUGCGAGCGUUUAAUCGGAAUUACUGGGCGUAAAGCGUGCGCAGGCGGUUAUGCAAGACAGAUGUGAAAUCCCCGGGCUCAACCUGGGAACUGCAUUUGUGACUGCAUAGCUAGAGUACGGUAGAGGGGGGAUGGAAUUCCGCGUGUAGCAGUGAAAUGCGUAGAUAUGCGGAGGAACACCGAUGGCGAAGGCAAUCCCCUGGACCUGUACUGACGCUCAUGCACGAAAGCGUGGGGAGCAAACGAGG